AAUUUACAGUCAGUUACAGUUCUUAUGCCUUUUUCAUUCAUUUUUUUUCCUUUACGGCAUACCAGUACUGGCUCCACCCCUAGCAACCAGCCGCUGACUUCCUCUGCAAUGGGCCAAGCAUGCCCGGCGACUCUACACUCACGCCAAUUACGUCACAGUACCGGCGUCACUCACAUGGAGGUGGGGGAGAAUAGUACACAUGCACCUGCUGGGACUACAGUCCCCUUACAUAAGACUGCACGACCCGGUUACUAGACCGCACACCAACAUUUUACUGAAUGGCCCCUUGUAAGAUGAUGUCACAGAGCAUGUGAAGCACAGCUCCUGCAUGCAGCUCCUGAAUGCACUGCGAUGGCUCCAGACUGCACGACCCAGUUACUAGGCAGCACACCAACAUUUUACUGAAUGGCCCCCCUGUAAGAUGAUGUCACAGAGCUGAAUGAUGUCACAGAGCAUGUGAAGCACAGCUCCUGCAUGCAGCUCCAGAAUGCACUGCGAUGGCUCCAGUGCAAGUGACAGUAACAGAACAUUCUGAGAUCCACCUACUACACUGAUAUAACAUGAGGAAACGUCGGAGGUGAUUUCACAGUCAGAAGUGGCUUGGCGUGUAUCCGUGUGUAUCCGGGACGCAGGUGCCCACGUGAUCCAACCGCUGGUAGGCGUGUAAAAACAUAGAAUGUGAGGGCAGAUAAGAACCACAUGGCCCAUCUAGUCAGCCCAUGUACACGCACACACUUACACACUACCUGCCACUAUAAACAAGCCCAAAGCUACAAUACUAGCAUACCCUCCAACAUUUUACACAUAAAAAUUAGUAAAUGGGGCAUGGCCUCUGGUAAAGGGGAGCGUGGCUAUGUCCCCUUUCCUAUACUUUUAAUGGGAAUUUGGAGAGUCAAAAAUCAGUACAGACCAUAAAAAAGGUACUGUACCUGGCAAAAAGGUACAUUUGCAGGGUAUGUACUAGUUGAGUUGGAUAUAUUUUUAACAUGCAUUAGGAAUAUGCCUGGGUGGGUAAAAAACCACCAGUAUCUCUAAAACUCAGGGAGACUUAUUAUAGACACUUCUCGCUCUAUUCGUGAGAGUGAUCAGUCUUCCUAGUGUGGUCUAAUUGUUAUGUGGUCCCUUAUAGUCAUGGGACAACAAUGUUAAGGGUACGUUUUAUUAACUCAAAAUGACCCAAAAAUAUGUCACAUACAGAAUAAAUCCUUGCAAAGUAU